GGACUAAAAGACAUUAGUAGACAGGGACACGCGUGAAUGAGUCUACGGACAUAAGACAGACCUUUCUCCCGUCGUCCACCUAUUUAUCCCAACAUCUAAUUUUUUUUUUUUUUCGAAACACCAGCAUCUAAUUUUAAAUCUAUUUUUCGUACUGUUGAAACAUUAUCGGAUAAUUCUCAGUAUUUUAUUACACGAUUACUUUGAUUUAUUUAUGGUUAUUAAAAAAAGGAAAAGAGAGAACGACAAAUCUUUUCCAGCAAAGCAUGAAAAGAAAGUUCUUUUUCGUUUCACCAAAAUAGUAAAACAAAGGUUCACACCAAAACGUGGCAUCGACUUUUUUUACCAAAAGUUCCAUAAUAGUUAUGAAACAAUAUGAACUUUUUUGUCAACUGGA
rnacentral:lncRNA from 1 species